rnacentral:misc_RNA from 1 species
GAUGAAGAACGCAGCGAAAUGCGAUAAGUAAUGUGAAUUGCAGAAUUCAGUGAAUCAUCGAAUCUUUGAACGCACAUUGCGCCCGCCAGUAUUCUGGCGGGCAUGCCUGUCUGAGCGUCAUUUCAACCCUCAUGCCCCUAGGGCGUGGUGUUGGGGAUCGGCCAAAGCCCGCGAGGGACGGCCGGCCCCUAAAUCUAGUGGCGGACCCGUCGUGGCCUCCUCUGCGAAGUAGUGAUAUUCCGCAUCGGAGAGCGAUGAGCCCCUGCCGUUAAACCCCCAACUUUCCAAGGUUGACCUCAAAUCAGGUAGGAAUACCCGCUGAACUUAAGCAUAUCAAUAAGCGGAGGA